GUCUCGCCGGUUCUAGUGUGGAUGUAGAAAAGGGUGGUCCAAACAUAGACAGGGCAACUAUGGCAAUAAGUUUGUCCAAUGAUCUUUUGAAUGGUUAUGCCGUUAUCUUUGCAUUUAUACACGAUGUUUGGCGUGUAGGAACUUGAUGGGAGUAACGUUAACGUUUGCUCAGCCAGCUUAAACGAUAGCUCUCUGGUUAAUCUCAACACGUGGUGGUGUGGAAGCAUGUGCUAGCCUGCAACAAUUGGUGCUCGGUCCUGCUGUUGGCGCUGAAAUGGCCGAAGUUGACUGAAUUGACGACAGUUGGUGCAGGAUUGUAGCCUGAACAUCUCAUAGUUGGUGCAGGAUUGUGACCUGAACAUCUUAUUAGUUGGUGCAGGAUUGUGACCUGAAGAUCUUAUUAGUUCACUGAAUUGACAGUUGGUGCAGGAUUGUGACCUGAAGAUCUUAUUAGUUGACUGAAUUGACGACAGUUGGUGCAGGAUUGUAGCCUGAACAUCUCAUAGUUGGUGCAGGAUUGUGACCUGAACAUCUUAUUAGUUGACUGAAUUGAUGCCAGUUGGUGCAGGAUUGUAGCCUGAACAUCUCAUAGUUGACUGAAUUGACUACAGUUGGUGCAGGAUUGUGACCUGAAGAUCUUAUUAGUUGACUGAAUUGACUACAGUUGGUGCAGGAUUGUAGCCUGAACAUCUCAUAGUUGACUGAAUUGACAGUUGGUGCAGGAUUGUGACCUGAACAUCUUAUUAGUUGGACAGGGAUUUGGACCGUAACGUCUCAAAGGGAAAAGGUGCAUCCAGGUAGUUUCUGCUUUGUGGUAUUAUGGAUCAGUUUGAAUGGUUUGGAAUGUGUUUUGUUGAUGCAAUAAAUUGAUUGAUUAAA